CAAAAAUUUUCCCUCUCAACUUUCCGCCUUUACGCCUUUCUCAACCCACCUCAACCUCCAUCUCCUCUACCGUUCCUCCAUCUCCAAAACCUAAAUCCGUCGCCUACCGCUUACUACAAGAAAAAUGCCCAAGACUCCAACGUCGCGACAAUCAUUCCCAACGCCUGGGUGUUUGCCGUCAAAAUCGCUCGUCGACAUCGCCGUCUCUGCUGCGCUACAGAUGAGCAAUCAGUGGAGUAAUUCUAAAAAGGCACCGGUUGGGAAAAGCCGAUACAUAUGGUGGUAGUAGAUCGGAGUUAUCCAGUGAAGUGUUAUUUGAUGAUUAUGGACGACCUAUUAAUAUUCCAGGUGGGAAGGAAUAGAAGGGUUCUGAGAGUUUUCCAUGGCCAGACUGACAUGGAUGUGGUAUGUCAGAUUGGACUUGAUGGGAUUAGAAUACUUGAGCCUGCUACAAGCAGAACUCUAAAGAUAUAUCAACUUGAUAAUGUGGCAAGAUGGGAGGUAUUGGAUUCAUAUAUAUUUGCAUUUUGGACCAAAAGCUCUGUUGACACUGAACCUAAAUAGACCGGGCUUAAAUCAAACAGCUAUACCACAAACAAUAUCCUGGAUGUCGUGACAAUAGCAAUUAUUCAGGUCAAUGAAAUGGGUGAAACUAAUAGACCUUCAAAUCUUACCAGAGGUGGAUCUGAGCAACUUGCAUACAUGAAGAAAUGUUUUACUGAUUGGAUGAAAAUAAUGAGGCCACAAAAUGAAGAGAAACAUCACUGGUUUAUGUUGGGCAAACUAUUGAAAGCUUUUCCUUUAAUAGCUUCUUGAUGAAGCAGUCACCAAGUUCAGUAAUUAUUGAAGUGUUGGCACCAUCUUCCUAAUGAGGCUAUUCAAUCUGGGUGUAUGAGUCAUUUCAUAUACUUCAAAUGGGAGCUUGGCCAAAGACAUCUCUUACAAAGGACGCUAAUUAGACUACGAAAAAUGCUUGUGUCUAUGUAAUGAGAACCAUGAAGCGCAUAAGGUCUUUCUUGAAAAUGUAUCUUUGGUCACUACAAUAUUUAGAUUUAGUGAUUGGAAUUGUUCAUUGUAUUUUAAAGUAGAUGAUGAAUUUUUGUGUAUUUUGAAAUACUUUACAUACUUGUAAAAGAUGAUUGUACUAAUGAAUUGAUGCUUUGAUAUU